rnacentral:rRNA from 1 species
GAUGAACGCUGGCGGCGUGCCUAAUACAUGCAAGUCGAGCGAAUGGAUUAAGAGCUUGCUCUUAUGAAGUUAGCGGCGGACGGGUGAGUAACACGUGGGUAACCUGCCCAUAAGACUGGGAUAAAUCCGGGAAACCGGGGCUAAUACCGGAUAACAUUUUGAACCGCAUGGUUCGAAAUUGAAAGGCGGCUUCGGCUGUCACUUAUGGAUGGACCCGGGUCGCAUUAGCUAGUGGGUGAGGUAACGGCUCACCAAGGCAACGAUGCGUAGCCGACCUGAGAGGGUGAGCGGCCACACUGGGACUGAGACACGGCCCAGACUCCUACGGGAGGCAGCAGUAGGGAAUCUUCCGCAAUGGACGAAAGUCUGACGGAGCAACGCCGCGUGAGUGAUGAAGGCUUUCGGGUCGUAAAACUCUGUUGUUAGGGAAGAACAAGUGCUGGUUGAAUAAGCUGGCACCUUGACGGUACCUAACCAGAAAGCCACGGCUAACUACGUGCCAGCCGCCGCAGUAA